rnacentral:tRNA from 1 species
GGCCCGUUGGUCAAGCGGUUAAGACGUGGCCCUCUCACGGCUGAAACAAGGGUUCGAUUCCCUUACGGGUCA